UACGGGGGGGCAAGCGUUGUUCGGAAUUACUGGGCGUAAAGGGCGCGUAGGCGGCCAACUAAGUCAGACGUGAAAUCCCUCGGCUUAACCGGGGAACUGCGUCUGAUACUGGAUGGCUUGAGGUUGGGAGAGGGAUGCGGAAUUCCAGGUGGAGCGGUGAAAUGCGUAGAUAUCUGGAGGACACCGGUGGCGAAGGCGGCAUCCUGGACCAAUUCGUGACGCUGAGGAGCGAAAGCCAGGGAGCAAGCG
rnacentral:rRNA from 1 species